rnacentral:lncRNA from 1 species
UUUUUUUUGUUAUGUAAGCAACAGAAUUUUAGAUUCUGAGUGAAGUGAAGAAGCCUAUUGUUUUACAAAGAUAUUUUUUCUUUUCUACCAGAGAUCUUGCUCCAGUUUUUAAGUGUAGAACUUUUUCUGAAAGGAAAUCAGUGUGGGGAGAUACUUUAAGGAGGUAAUUUUUCGAUUUUCAAAAGUUUGUUCAUCAAAUGUGAAAAACCAGUAGUUAUAAUUUUUAUGUUCUAUGCUGCAGAAAAACGAUGUAUAAAACCCCUAAAAAUCUAAAAACAGAAUUUUAGUUAUAUUUUUGUACUUUAUUUUUUUAAUAUUUACAAAAAUGUUUGCAAUUUUUAAUAAUUUUAACUUUAUACAAUAUAUAGUAUAGAAUAUGACAUUUCUUUCUUAAAUACUAUUAUAUAAGUUAUUUUCCUUCUCUAGUUAAUGGAUAUAUUCUACAAUACGAUCAUGAAUUAAAAUACAGUAAGCUGUUACAUCUUUUAAAUUUUUAGAGGUUUCUAUUUCAAAAUGUAAUCAACUGAAGAAGUUGUUGAAUCAUUCUGUUUCAAAGUGUCAAUAAUAACAAUCAGUCCCCAAUCUAAAAACCCUGUAGGACUUAAUAUAGGACUUCGCAUAUCACACAUAUCAUACAAUAAAGAGAAUUUUUUUUAAUAAAAUCUAUAAAUUCAAAUCAUUUUAGGGAUACAUAAAAUAAUUUAAAUAUAUGUUCAUGUUUGUUAAAUUACAAUGCUCAAAUUCACUAUAACCUUUGCUUUUUUUCUGUAAAUCAAUUAUAACAUAUCUUGGUUUUUCCAGCUUUGAAGUGGUUUUCAAAUUCCAAAAAACUUUCUGAAUCACUAAGUUCAAGAUAUUGGUAUAAAUAUUAAUAGCUUAGAAAUAAGGUUUUUUUUUACAUAUUUUUCAUUAAUUUAAAUCUCUUGUUAUCAUCUAGGCUUACAUGUGGGAUUUUCCAGACUAUUUUUUUAAUUUCCAGCGCAGCAGUACUUGUUAAUAAUGUUGACUCUGCAACUUUUUUUAAUGUAUCAACAUUUUUCCUUGUUAGUAUUAAUUCAAGUCUCAUAUUUACCAAAAUCUUUAAAAUCCUCGAAAAAUCCCAUCAAAUGCUUCAGUAGAAUACAUACACAAAAAUAUCUACGAUCAGUAUCUGUUAUAGAUUUAUUGUUUUUAAAAAAUCAGCCUGCAUUUUGAUUGCAAUUAUAUUCAUCUAAUACAUGUGAAAAAUAGCUUUUUAUCAAGCUAGUUACCCCUAAGUUUUUUUUAUCCAUUUCCACUCCAUUAAUUUUAAAUCUUACUUGGUCAAAUAGUUGAGAUAUUCUGUUUUUAAAAAGACUAGUUUUAGUUGGUUUUGCUAUUUUCCCCUUAAUAUAAAGAAAACUUUCAUGAAGAUAUGGAUAUGUGGUUUAACUGUUGAACUAAUAUUCACAAAAAUAUAAACAAUUAUACAUUUUUAAAUACAUGAAAUUUAUUAAUAUUUUAUUCUUAUAUUUUAGAUGAAUAAUUUCUAUGAAAAUUGAAUUUCAAAAACUGUCAUGUCAGCAAAACAAAAUAAGACUAAAGAAACAAAAUUCAUUAUAUAUAAAGGUUGGAGAUAAAAAAACAUCUCUGGAUCCAUGACUUGAAAAUCCAGUCUCCGAUAAAGUGACAGACUAUUUUGUAAUUGAGCAUUACAGGACCAAAGACAUGUAAGAGGCUGCAACUAACAAGCAGUAAAUUUAAAUUAAGCUUUACUAAAAUAUAGACCAUGUAUAAUAUUUUUAUAAAUUUUCAGAUGGAAAGUAGCAAAAUGCACUGAUGAGAAAGGGACUGAAGAAAACCAGUUUACAGCCAAAAUGAAUGAUGUGAUACAGGCAGGGCUGAAUAUUUUCAUUAGGAAUCUGGUAACAACUGUCAAUAAUUACAAAAUAUGAAAUUUAUAAAAAUAUAAUACAUUAGCAGUUUUUAACCUUUUUUAGAACAUGGACCCCUGAUGAAAGAUUUUUAGAAAUCGCAGACCACCUACCAAUUUUUCGUUGAAUGCCUUUUUUUUUUACAAAACAUCUCAUGUUAUCCUAACCAAAAUUAUAAUUAUUAUUAUGUAUUACAAGUUAUAAAUGCUAUUUUUAUGCAUUAGAAGUAGACAUAACAAAAUAUACA